GCUGGGAUAGCUCAGUCAGUAGAGCAUGAGACUCUUAAUCUUGGGGCCAAGGGUUCAAGCCCCACAUUGGGCA